GACAGAGGUGCCGAGCGUUAGGCGGAAUCACUGGGCUUAAAGCGUGUGUAGGCGGACCCGUCAGUGUCUUGUGAAAUCCCACGGCUCAACCGUGGAACGGCUGGGCAUACUGCGGGUCUUGAGAGGCCUAGGGGCGAGCGGAACAGGCGGUGGAGCGGUGAAAUGCGUAGAUAUCGCCUGGAACGCCGACGGUGAAAACAGCUCGCUGGGGGCCUUCUGACGCUGAGACACGAAAGCCAGGGGAGCGAACGGG
rnacentral:rRNA from 1 species